CAGGGACUGUAGGAGAGGCCACGGAUCUUUUUGACAGUGCCGGCAUCAUAAUAUAGAAUAAUAAUUCGGCUGGCCGGGUCUGUGGUGUUGACUCUCCGGUCCCGCGCAAUGAGAGCCCACGAACCGUGUCAGGUCGGGAACGAAGCAGCACUAAGAGGUGUCUUUCAUGUGACGCGGGGUACCCGGAGAAGAGCCUAGGGUCCGGUCAGCCACCUUUUUUAUCAGCGUUUCUG
rnacentral:SRP_RNA from 1 species